AGUGAACGCUGGCGGUAGGCCUAACACAUGCAAGUCGAACGGCAGCACAGGAGAGCUUGCUCUCUGGGUGGCGAGUGGCGGACGGGUGAGGAAUACAUCGGAAUCUGCCCAGUCGUGGGGGAUAACGUAGGGAAACUUACGCUAAUACCGCAUACGACCUUCGGGUGAAAGAGGGGGAUCGCAAGACCUCUCGCGAUUGGAUGAGCCGAUGCCGGAUUAGCUAGUUGGCGGGGUAAUGGCCCACCAAGGCGACGAUCCGUAGCUGGUCUGAGAGGAUGAUCAGCCACACUGGAACUGAGACACGGUCCAGACUCCUACGGGAGGCAGCAGUGGGGAAUAUUGGACAAUGGGCGCAAGCCUGAUCCAGCCAUACCGCGUGGGUGAAGAAGGCCUUCGGGUUGUAAAGCCCUUUUGUUGGGAAAGAAAUCUUUCAGGCUAAUACCCUGGGAGGAUGACGGUACCCAAAGAAUAAGCACCGGCUAACUUCGUG
rnacentral:rRNA from 1 species